GCACAAGCGGUGGAGCAUGUGGUUCAAUUCGACGCAACGCGAAGAACCUUACCCAGGCUUGAACAGCGAGUGACCAUUCCCGAAAGGGAACUUCCGCAAGGACACUCGUAGAGGUGCUGCAUGGCUGUCGUCAGCUCGUGUCGUGAGAUGUUGGGUUAAGUCCCGCAACGAGCGCAACCCUUGUCUACUGUUGCCAUCAGGUUAAGCUGGGCACUCUGUAGAGACUGCCGGUGAUAAACCGGAGGAAGGUGGGGAUGACGUCAAGUCAGCAUGGCCUUUAUGUCUGGGGCUACACACGUGCUACAAUGGCCGGUACAAACCGUCGCAAAACCGUAAGGUCGAGCUAAUCGGAGAAAGCCGGUCUCAGUUCGGAUAGCAGGCUGCAACUCGCCUGCUUGAAGUUGGAAUCGCUAGUAAUCGCGGAUCAGCACGCCGCGGUGAAUACGUUCCCGGGC
rnacentral:rRNA from 1 species